GACCCCUAAUGUUGAUUUUCUUGAUGGAAACUUUUUUUAUAAUGUUCUAAUUGGCUGGAAAUGUUUGAUUUAUUAUAUUAGGAUGCACAUAUGUACUUUUUUUUUGGGAUGAGGUGAAGUUGAAAUGCUGUUAAUUAUUUUCAUCUGUUAUGGAAGUGGAAAUAAACACCUCGGCUUUCUGAGUUUUGUCCACCAGUGGAAGAUUUGAAUCUUGGACCAACAUAGAAAUAGUUUAUGCUUUCUUGUUUACUGUGUCUCUGUGGUUUUAAACAUAAACCUGUCUUUUCCCAGGGCAACAGAGGUUAAAUGGAGUCAAUGGAGUCAUGUUGACAACAGCGAUGUGCACCGGUGAUGUUGUGGUCAGGAUGACGCCCGCUGAAUGAAAUGACCCAGGUCUGAUGGUCGCUCUACAAUGCGAAGCAGAUCUGAGGUGUGUUUUAGCAGUGUUGUGACUGUCCCUGGAAGUCCAGCAGUGCACAGAGACGGCAGUGUUUGACUGAAGAACACACACACGUAAUGCAGCACAGACACAGAGCUGUGUGUUUGUUGAAGAGGAGAGUCAUUAUGAUGAGAGUCAUCAGAGUAGGUGUGUUAUUAGAAGUCUUACUUGAGGAAGCUCCAGGCGAGGCAGGGC